GACGAACGCUGGCGGCGUGCUUAACACAUGCAAGUCGAACGAUGAAGCCUAGCUUGCUAGGCGGAUUAGUGGCGAACGGGUGAGUAAUACGUGAGUAACCUACCUUUAACUCUGGGAUAAGCCCGGGAAACUGGGUCUAAUACCGGAUACGACCAAUCUCCGCAUGGGGUGUUGGUGGAAAGCGUUAUGUAGUGGUUAUAGAUGGGCUCACGGCCUAUCAGCUUGUUGGUGAGGUAACGGCUCACCAAGGCGACGACGGGUAGCCGGCCUGAGAGGGUGACCGGCCACACUGGGACUGAGACACGGCCCAGACUCCUACGGGAGGCAGCAGUGGGGAAUAUUGCACAAUGGGCGCAAGCCUGAUGCAGCGACGCCGCGUGAGGGAUGACGGCCUUCGGGUUGUAAACCUCUGUUAGCAGGGAAGAAGAGAGAUUGACGGUACCUGCAGAGAAAGCGCCGGCUAACUACGU
rnacentral:rRNA from 1 species